UUUUAGUUAUUCAGUUUUAAUUUCUGUUGCUUUGAUGUAACCACCUAUUAUGGGUUGGCUUCUUCUAAUGAAUUUGAUUUGGUUUACCUCUAGUUUCCUGUUUAUUUCAUUAGAUACGUGACUAUGUCUGGCUAUUGGUUUUCUUGAUCACGUACACCAACUACUUGGGCGUUCUCUCUUUCAGUCCCCUGAUUGUAGAUACUGUUGUUUAUGAUUGGACGCACUGGUUAAGAUUAACAUCAGAACCACGAGCAUGAGCUUUGAACUCAGAGGUAUGAUAGAACAAGUCAGCUUAACCCGUCCUGGUGAGUUCAUAAAAAGCCAAACACUUAUUAUCAUAUGAGCGAUAUCAGGUAUGUCUUUAUCAAUCUUGGUUUGCGUACGUUCUUUUGUUAUUAUUAGCUGUACGAAUACACACACUGAGGCAUGUUUUUN
rnacentral:lncRNA from 1 species